ACAACAAAUUAAUAGAUUAGGGACGAAAUUAUUAAGGACCAUAAAAGUUUAGUAAACCUACCAAAUUUCUAAAUUUGUCUUAAAUUGUUAUUAGGCAAAAAAGGGGAAAAGAAAUCGUCGCUCACUGUGUAAGAUAUCUACAAUAAAACAAUUUAAAAUCAUUCUAAAAAAUAAAUUAAAAUCAUAUUCUCCCUCUCAAAUAAAAAUCGCUCAGAUGAAAUUCUUUCUUCUUUUUUCGAACAACUGUUCACCAGCUAGGGUUUCAUGAUCAUAUCUACAAAACUAUAAUGAAAACACUCGAAUUCAAACAAGAUGCAUGUGAUUCAGAGUGAGCCGAUUAUCUAUUGACAGAUUUAAUGGCGGUGAAGAUCUCCUCCUCGAGGCGGACUUUCUUCAAUGUCACAAACAUCGGAGUGAGUGAGAAGGAAGAGUUUGUGAGUAACACGAGGUUUAUUUUGUUUAAUUGGAUGCGUGAGUGUUGCUUACAACGGAUGAUUUUUGUUUUUUUUUUGCUUUCUUUAACAAGGUUACUGUUGCUUAUAACAAGGAUACCAGCCCUAACAAGUUGAAUUUGGGCGUUGGCGCUUACAGAACUGAGGAAUGGGAGCCUCUUGUUUCGAAUGUAGUGAAAGAAGCUGAACAGAUGCUUGUAAAUGUCCUGUUGGAGCACAAACAGAGACAUGUCUUAAAGAAAAGAAGUUGAGAGUUGAAGAUGCUCUUAAUGCAACAAAGGCUCAGUAUAUUUAAAAGCUGGUGAAGAUAGCCGGGAUAAAAAAUAGCUGCUUCCAGAGUUAAAGCAAAGGCAACUUAUGAUGUAUAUGAAGCCAUAUACUCCAAGAUUGCUCUCUCAAUACUUGAAGAAGAACAAAAAGGAAACAAAGUGGCUUGUCUGUUGUUUGGGGGAUCAAGAAAGGCAUAUCCUGAAACUUCUCUCUCUAUAUCCUGGAUAAUUGUGGAACUUAUUGAUAACCGUUACUAAUUUUCACGCUAACAUAGGAUUUUCUUGAUGGGGUGAAGCUAACAGGUGACAUCAAUGUGUUGUUUUGGGUGACCCUCGCAGUGUACCUGAAGUGUGGCGCCCCUUUUAUGAGUCGUCAACGUUGCUAGCUCAGAAGACAACAAUGGCAGUUAGCCUUUUCUAUGCGUAUCUCAUUCAUAAUAUUUUUCUACCUCUAUAAUGAAUCGAAAACAUUGACAUCAGUGAGAGUAACAACGCUUUCUCUUAACGCAGGCUUUAAGAUAUCUAAGACAAAUUUCUCAAGAAAUGUCUCAGCCAAAUGUCUUUGGUUGGGGAAGAAGACCAGCUGCUUUACGUGCACUUAGUCAGAGAUUCAGCAAGUAUGAGUUUAAUGUUUUCUACUUUGAAAUUCUUAAUAUUAUGUAAUUGUACCUGGUCGCAGUGCACUUAGCGACAGCUCCUCUAGAUUUCAAGAAGAUAUUUGUGGAAAAUAAUUCCGUAGCAGAGAAGGCGCUCAAUGUUUAGUAUUUUUUAUGCAUAUUUUGGUGAAUAUUUUCUGUUUGUGAUGUAAUGGAUGGAUGAAAUAUUUUCCGAUUUUGAAUUUUAUGAAUAUUUUCUGUUUUUUAA